UAGGGAAUCUUCGGCAAUGGACGAAAGUCUGACCGAGCAACGCCGCGUGAGUGAAGAAGGUUUUCGGAUCGUAAAACUCUGUUGGUAGAGAAGAACGUUGGUGAGAGUGGAAAGCUCAUCAAGUGACGGUAACUACCCAGAAAGGGACGGCUAACUACGUGCCAGCAGCCGCGGUAAUACGUAGGUCCCGAGCGUUGUCCGGAUUUAUUGGGCGUAAAGCGAGCGCAGGUGGUUUAUUAAGUCUGGUGUAAAAGGCAGUGGCUCAACCAUUGUAUGCAUUGGAAACUGGUAGACUUGAGUGCAGGAGAGGAGAGUGGAAUUCCAUGUGUAGCGGUGAAAUGCGUAGAUAUAUGGAGGAACACCGGUGGCGAAAGCGGCUCUCUGGCCUGUAACUGACACUGAGGCUCGAAAGCGUGGGGAGCAAACAGGAUUAGAUACCCUGGUAGUCCACGCCGUAAACGAUGAGUGCUAGAUGUAGGGAGCUAUAAGUUCUCUGUAUCGCAGCUAACGCAAUAAGCACUCCGCCUGGGGGAGUACGACCGCAAGG
rnacentral:rRNA from 1 species